rnacentral:rRNA from 1 species
GACGAACGCUGGCGGCGUGCCUAAUACAUGCAAGUCGAACGCAGUGGGGACGGGUAAGUAACACGUGGGUAACCUCCCAUCAGAGGGGAUAACACUUGGAAACAGGUGCUAAACCGAUACUGUUGGAUGAACACGCGGUGAAUUAGCUAGUUGGGUGGGUAACGGUUCACCAAGGCCACGAUGCAUAGCCAAACUGAGAGGGUGAUCGGCAACAAUGGGACUGAGAAACGGCCCAGACUCCUACGGGAGGCAGAAGGAGGGAAGCGUCGGCAAUGGACGAAAGUCUGACCAAGCAACGCCGCGUGAGUGAAGAAGGUUUGCGGAGCGUAAAACUCUGUUGUUAGAGAAGCGGUAUCUAACCAGAAAGCCACGGCUAACUACGGGCCAGCCGCCGCGGUAAUUC